rnacentral:rRNA from 1 species
GGCCAAGCGAAAAUAGGUCCAUGGCGGAUGCCUAUGGAGCUGCGGGGCGAAGAAGGUCGCGGCAAGCUGCGAAAAGCCGGGGGAAGGAGCACACAUCCAGUGAUCCCCGGAUAACCGAAUGGGGUAACCCGGCGGAAGAGAUUCCGUCACCGCGCAACUGAAUAAAAUAGGUUGGCGGAGCCAGACCGGAUGAAGUGAACCAUCUAAGUAAUCCGGGAAAAGAAAUCAAAAGAGAUUCCGUAAGUAGCGGCGAGCGAAAGCGGAAGAGCCCAAACCGCGAUAAGCGGUGUUGUAGGGCCGCACGGGGAUGACCCGCGGAGAAAGCAAAGGGAUGCGUAGCGGAAGGAACCGGAGAGUUCUGCCGAAGAGCGUGACAGCCGCGUACGCGAAACGCGAUCCCACUCCGUGGUGCGGUACCUGAGUAGGGCGGGGCACGAGAAACCCUGUCUGAAUCCGGGUCGACCACGAUCCAAGGCUAAAUACUGCGCAGCUACCGAUAGUGAAGAAGUACCGUGAGGGAAAGGCGAAAAGAACCCCGGUGAGGGGAGUGAAAUAGAACCUGAAACCAUGGACCGGCAAGAUGUCACGGGAAUAGCUGCCUGUGGCGUGUCUUUUGUAGAAUAAGCCUGCGAGUCACGGUGUGCGGCGAGGCCAAGGGAUAGAAGUCCCGGAGCCGGAGCGAAGGCGAGUCCGAAGAGGGCGAAAAGUCACACGUCGUGGACCCGAAGCCAAUGUGAUCUUACUAUGGGCAGGUUGAAGCAGGGGUGAAACCCUGUGGAGGACCGAACGGUAAUCUGUUAAAAAAGGUAGCGAUGACCUGUGGUAAGGAGUGAAAGGCUAAACAAACAUGGAGAUAGCUGGCUCUCCCCGAAAUGCCUUUAGGGACAGCCUCGUGGAAAGUUUGUGGAGGUAGAGCACUGGACGGCCGAGGGGGAGUCAAAUCCUACCGAAUCCGAUCAAACUGCGAAUGCCACAAACCAGCCCACGGGAGUGAGACUGCGUGCGACAAGGUUCGUAGUCGAGAGGGAAACAGCCCGGACCGCCGGCUAACGGUCCCCAAAUCAUGCUGAGUGUGAAAUGAAGUGCGGAUGCACAGACAGCCAGGAGGUUGGCUUAGAAGCAGCCAUUCCUUGAAAGAGUGCGUAACAGCUCACUGGUCGAGCACCCGUGCGCAGACAAUGUAGCGGGGCUAAGCAUGAUACCGAAGCCGCGGAUUCAUACCGUAAGGUAUGACUGGUAGGGGAGCAUUCCGCCAACCCAGGAAGGCAUGCCCGUGAGGGGUGCUGGAGGAAGCGGAAGAGAGAAUGCAGGCAUAAGUAACGCAAAGACGGGUGAGAUCCCCGUCCGCCGAAAACCUAAGGUUUCCGGGGUAAAGGCAAUCUGCCCCGGGUAAGUCGGCCCCUAAGGCGAGGAGGAAACUCGUAGCCGAUGGGAAGGCGGUGAAUAUUCCGUCACUUCAAUCAGUUUCGAAGGCAGGACGCAUGAGGCGAAGUCCGGCGGGAGAACGGUAGUUCCCGUCGAGGCGGCAAGGUGAAGAGGCAUACAGGCAAAUCCGUAUGCUGAGCUGAGCUGAGAGCGAUUCCCUUUACGGAGGGACGAAGCGGACAGAGUCAAGGUGCCGGGAAAUACUGUCUAAGGUCAGGCUGGUUGGAACCGUACCGGAAACCGACACAGGUAGGAAGGAUGAGUAAUCUAAGGCGCACGAGCGACCUCGCGUUAAGGAACUCGGCAAAAUGCACACGUAACUUCGGAAGAAGUGUGGCUCCCGGUCGAAAGGUUUGGGAGCGGCAGAAAGCAGGCCCAGGCGACUGUUUAUCAAAAACACAGCCAUCUGCGAACCAGCAAUGGGACGUAUAGGUGGUGACACCUGCCCGGUGCCGGAAGGUUAAGGGGAGCGCUCAGGAGCAAUCCGAAGGUGCGAACCGAAGCCCCGGUAAACGGCGGCCGUAACUAUAACGGUCCUAAGGUAGCGAAAUUCCUUGUCGGGUAAGUUCCGACCCGCAUGAAUGGUGUAACGAUUCUGGGCACUGUCUCAACGCGAGACUCGGUGAAAUUUAUGUUCCGGUAAAGAAGCCGGAUACCCGCAAUCAGACGGAAAGACCCCGUGAACCUUCACCGCAACUUAGCAUUGGGAUUCUAUUCGUCAUGUGUAGGAUAGCUGGGAGGCAGAGAGGCGUGGCCGUCAGGUUGCGCGGAGCCGCCGGUGAAAUACCAGCCCUGACGGAUGGGAUUUCUAACGCUUUCCCUGAAGCGGGAGAGCGGACAGUGCUAGGCGGGCGGUUUGACUGGGGCGGUCGCCUCCCAAAGUUUAACGGAGGUGCGCGAAGGUCCCCUCACCCUGGUUGGGAAUCAGGGCGCGAGUGUAAAGGCACAAGGGGGCUUGACUGCGAGAGAGACAUCUCGAGCAGGUGCGAAAGCAGGUCUUAAUGAUCUGAUGGUUCCGAGUGGAAGGGCCAUCACUUAACGGACAAAAGGUACUCCGGGGAUAACAGGCUGAUUUUCCCCAAGAGUUCACAUCGACGGGAAAGUUUGGCACCUCGAUGUCGGCUCAUCGCAUCCUGGGGCUGGAGCAGGUCCCAAGGGUUUGGCUGUUCGCCAAUUAAAGCGGUACGUGAGCUGGGUUCAGAACGUCGCGAGACAGUUCGGUCCCUAUCUGUUGCGGGCGUUGGAUGUUUGAGAGGAGCUGCCUUUAGUACGAGAGGACCGAGGUGGACGAACCUCUGGUGUACCGGUUGUUCCGCCAGGAGCAAGUGCCGGGUAUCUAAGUUCGGAAGGGAUAACCGCUGAAAGCAUCUAAGCGGGAAGCCCGCCUCAAGAUUAGACAUCCCUGGGAGCAUGACUCCCCUGUAGACCCCGGGCAGACCACCCGGUUGAUAGGCCGCAGGUGCAGGUACGGCGACGUGCACAGCCGAGCGGUACUAAUAGGUCGUGAGGCUUGGCCAU